rnacentral:rRNA from 1 species
GAGGAAUAUUGGACAAUGGAUGGAAAUCUGAUCCAGCCAUGCCGCGUGCAGGAAGACGGUCCUAUGGAUUGUAAACUGCUUUUGUAUGGGAGCAAUAAGGUUUUCGUGAAGACUGAUGAGAGUACCAUACGAAUAAGCAUCGGCUAACUCCGUGCCAGCAGCCGCGGUAAUACGGAGGAUGCGAGCGUUAUCCGGAUUUAUUGGGUUUAAAGGGUGCGUAGGCGGUUAUAUAAGUCAGUGGUGAAAGUUUUCGGCUCAACCGGAAAAUUGCCAUUGAUACUGUAUAGCUAGAAUAUGGUUGCUGUGAGUAGAAUGUGUGGUGUAGCGGUGAAAUGCAUAGAUAUCACACAGAAUACCGAUUGCGAAGGCAUCUCACAAAGCCAUCAUUGACGCUGAGGCACGAAAGUGUGGGGAUCAAAC